CCUACGGGAGGCAGCAGUGAGGAAUAUUGGUCAAUGGACGUAAGUCUGAACCAGCCAUGCAGCGUGCAGGAAGACGGCUCUAUGAGUUGUAAACUGCUUUUGUACGAGGGUAAACGCAGAUACGCGUAUCUGUUUGAACGUAUCGUACGAAUAAGGAUCGGCUAACUCCGUGCCAGCAGCCGCGGUAAUACGGAGGAUGCAAGUGUUAUCCGGAUUUGUUGGGUUAAAAGGGUGCGUAGGCGGAAGGCCAAGUCAGCGGUAAAAUCGCGGGGCUCAACCUCGCUCCGCCGUUGAAACUGGCGUUCUUGAGUGGGCGGAAAGUAUGCGGAAUGCGUGGUGUAGCGGUGAAAUGCUUAGAUAUCACGCAGAACUCCGAUUGCGAAGGCAGCAUACCGGCGCCCAACUGACGCUGAAGCACGAAAGCGUGGGUAUCGAACAGGAUUAGAUACCCUUGUAGUC
rnacentral:rRNA from 1 species